AGAGCCACGGUGUCGAUAGGGAAACUCAUCGUACAAUUAUAGAAAACCGAGACAAACCGAGGUACUAAUGGCGGGCUAUAACGAGAGCCUCGGCUCUCGCUCCCUCACACGCUGAGGGAUACAGUAGAUUACAAAGGUAUCAAGGCGCUCAAAUCCUAUUCAUAGGAGUUUUCGCUUUAUCCGCUCGUGGCUCCCCCA
rnacentral:sRNA from 1 species